rfam:Ceriporiopsis subvermispora B unplaced genomic scaffold CERSTscaffold_13, whole genome shotgun sequence.
UAAAAGGACUCUCUCGAGUCCAUCAGCUUAAACAGCUAUACAACA